GAACGCUAGCGGGAUGCUUUACACAUGCAAGUCGAACGGCAGCGCGAGAAAGCUUGCUUUCUUGGCGGCGAGUGGCGAACGGGUGAGUAAUGUAUCGGAACGUGCCCAGUAGCGGGGGAUAACUACGCGAAAGCGUGGCUAAUACCGCAUACGUCCUACGGGAGAAAGAGGGGGAUCGCAAGACCUCUCACUAUUGGAGCGGCCGAUAUCGGAUUAGCUGGUUGGUGGGGUAAAGGCCUACCAAGGCGACGAUCCGUAGCUGGUUUGAGAGGACGACCAGCCACACUGGGACUGAGACACGGCCCAGACUCCUACGGGAGGCAGCAGUGGGGAAUUUUGGACAAUGGGGGCAACCCUGAUCCAGCCAUCCCGCGUGUGCGAUGAAGGCCUUCGGGUUGUAAAGCACUUUUGGCAGGGAAGAAACGGCCUGGGAUAAUACCCCGGGCUAAUGACGGUACCUGCAGAAUAAGCACCGGCUAACUACUGCCAGCAGCCGCGGUAAUA
rnacentral:rRNA from 1 species